CAAUAGCGUAUAUUAAAGUUGUUGCAGUUAAAGAGCUCGUAGUUGGAUUUCUGGUGGGAGCGAUCGGUCUGGCGCUUAGCGCGAGUACUUGCAUCGUCUCCGGCCAUCCUUGGGGAGAGUCUGUCUGGCAUUAAGUUGUCGGGCAGAGGAUCCUCAUCGUUUACUGUGAAAAAAUUAGAGUGUUCAAAGCAGGCUUAUGCCGUUGAAUAUAUUAGCAUGGAAUAAUAAGAUAGGACUUUGGUACUAUUUUGUUGGUUUGCGCACCAAAGUAAUGAUUAAUAGGGACAGUUGGGGGUAUUCGUAUUCCGUUGUCAGAGGUGAAAUUCUUGGAUUUACGGAAGACGAACUACUGCGAAAGCAUUUACCAAGGAUGUUUUCAUUAA
rnacentral:rRNA from 1 species